GAUGAACGCUCGCGGCGUGCCUAAUACAUGCAAGUCGAGCGAACAGACGAGGAGCUUGCUCCUCUGACGUUAGCGGCGGACGGGUGAGUAACACGUGGAUAACCUACCUAUAAAACUGGGUUAACUUCGGGAAACCGGAGCUAAUCCCGGAUAAUAUAUUGAACCGCAUGGUUCAAUAUUGAAAGACGGUUUUGCUGUCACUUAUAGAUGGAUCCGCGCCGCAUUAGCUAGUUGGUAAGGUAACGGCUUACCAAGGCAACGAUGCGUAGCCGACCUGAGAGGGUGAUCGGCCACACUGGAACUGAGACACGGUCCAGACUCCUACGGGAGGCAGCAGUAGGGAAUCUUCCGCAAUGGGCGAAAGCCUGACGGAGCAACGCCGCGUGAGUGAUGAAGGUCUUCGGAUCGUAAAACUCUGUUAUUAGGGAAGAACAAAUGUGUAAGUAACUAUGCACGUCUUGACGGUACCUAAUCAGAAAGCCACGGCUAACUACGUG
rnacentral:rRNA from 1 species